rnacentral:rRNA from 1 species
CGCAGCCGCGGUAAUUCCAGCUCCAAUAGCGUAUAUUAAAGUUGUUGCAGUUAAAAGCNCGUAGUUGAAUUUCGGGAUCAAUUAGUCGGUCGUGCCUCUGGUACGUACUGGUUUUAUUGGUUCCUCCCUUCUGACGAAACAUGAUGUCAUUAAUUUGGUGUCGUGGAGAAUCAGGACUGUUACCUUGAAAAAAUUAGAGUGUUUAUAGCAGGCUAACGCUUGAAUACAUUAGCAUGGAAUAAUGAAAUAGGACGUUCGACCCUAUUUUGUUGGUUUCUAGGAUCGACGUAAUGAUUAAUAGGGAUAGUUGGGGGCAUUAGUAUCCAAUUGUCAGAGGUGAAAUUCUUGGAUUUAUUGAAGACUAACUACUGCGAAAGCAUUUGCCAAGGAUGUUUUCAUUAAUCAAGAACGAAAGUUAGGGGAUCGAAGACGAUCAGAUACCGUCGUAGUCUUAACCAUAAACUAUGCCGACUAGGGAUCGGAUGAUGUUAAUUUUUUAAUGACUCAUUCGGCGCCUUAC